rnacentral:rRNA from 1 species
UUUUUAAGUCUGAUGUGAAAGCCCACGGCUCAACCGUGGAGGGUCAUUGGAAACUGGAAAACUUGAGUGCAGAAGAGGAAAGUGGAAUUCCAUGUGUAGCGGUGAAAUGCGCAGAGAUAUGGAGGAACACCAGUGGCGAAGGCGACUUUCUGGUCUGUAACUGACGCUGAUGUGCGAAAGCGUGGGGAUCAAACAGGAUUAGAUACCCUGGUAGUCCACGCCGUAAACGAUGAGUGCUAAGUGUUAGGGGGUUUCCGCCCCUUAGUGCUGCAGCUAACGCAUUAAGCACUCCGCCGGGGGAGUACGACCGCAAGGUUGAAACUCAAAGGAAUUGACGGGGACCCGC